CUUUAAAGUUAAGUUAAUUUAGCAUUUGAAAAAUAUAUUACAUUUGCAAUAUAAAUAAAUAUUUUGCAGAUGACAAUAAAACUUAACGAAACAAUCUUGCCUAAGAUUGCAUUAAGGUUUAGGCAACUCUGGUUUAGUUUUGUAAGUUGGAACCCUGAAGACAUGUGUUUUAGGCUUAAUGAUGCCGUACUUUACUAUUCUAGUAUUGUAUUAGUACACAAUAAAAUAGUACAGCUUUUCAAUAAAUUUUUAAAUUCUUAAGCACUUCUAUUACAAAAUUUUAAAAAACUCUUUUACUGGCAUUAGUUGAAAAACAUGUCUUGCAAUAAAUCAAUUCUGAAAUCUGUAAGUUUUUAAUUCUACUCGCAAAACGUGAAUAUGGCAUCACUAUUAACAUUAUGCCUCAGCAUCCCUGUGUUUCGUGAAAAAAUUUCUUUUUCGUGUUUCGUGAAAAAAAUUUUCGUUCCUAUUUUUCUAAAUUGUGCUAAAAGUGUAAAGUGAAGUGUAUUUUCGUUGAAAUUAUAAUAAAAUUCUCUAUAAAGAGAAUUUAUAAGUGCUAAUCUUAUACUUGUAUAUUGGCAAAGUGAAGGAAUUGCAUAUACAAAUGGAAUUACACUGAAUUGUAUUCGGGGAAGUUGUGACGACUUUGUUCAUGAUUAUUCUCCUCACACACACACACACUCCCUUCCCUGUUAAUGGUAUUCGCAUUUUAGCCAAAACUCCUUAGCCUAUGCCCCUAGUUUUGAAAUGAAAGUUUAAGAAUAUCUGGCUUUGCUCUGGUUGACUCAGUUCCCAGAAGCGUUGCGUUUGUUAAUAUACAUACACGCUUACGUUUUCACGUUCGCAGGUAGAUCGUCCAUCUGCUAAAUACCUGUUCUAUAGCAGUCGGGGGGAAUUCAUUUUUUUUGUCAAAAUGAGUAGUGGCGGUACUUCAGCAGGGCCUGGAACUUCCGAUAAGGACAAGGACUCACAUUGGUACUUCAGUGCUGAACAGCUAUCGAACUCACCAAGUCGACGACAAGGAAUAGAUCCAGAUGCAGAACUCUCGUAUCGCCAAAUGACUGCCUAUCUUAUUCAAGAAAUGGGACAGCGCCUACAGGUCUCGCAGCUUUGCAUCAAUACUGCCAUUGUGUAUAUGCAUCGUUUCUAUGCUUUCCAUUCCUUCACUCAUUUCCAUCGCAAUAACAUUGCGGCUGCGAGUUUAUUCUUAGCGGCUAAGGUCGAAGAGCAGCCUCGAAAGCUUGAACACGUUAUAAAGGCUGCUAACAAGUGCCUUGGUCAGUCAACAUCCUCCACUGCAGAUGCGUAUUAUAUAGAACAAGCACAAGAGCUGGUAUUUAAUGAAAAUGUUUUGCUACAAACUCUUGGGUUUGAUGUUGCUAUUGACCAUCCCCACACUCACGUGGUAAAAACUUGUCAUUUGGUUAAAGCCUGCAAAGACUUAGCACAGACUUCUUAUUUUCUGGCUUCUAAUAGCCUUCAUCUGACAUCUAUGUGCCUACAAUACAAACCGACUGUAGUUGCUUGUUUCUGUAUCUACUUGGCUUGUAAAUGGUCACGAUGGGAGAUUCCACAGUCAACGGAAGGCAAACAUUGGUUCCAUUAUGUGGAUAAAACUGUGACUAUGGAUCUUUUAAAGCAAUUAACUGAUGAGUUCAUAGCAAUUUACGAAAAGAGUCCAUCGCGUCUCAAAUCCAAAUUGAAUUCUAUAAAAGCCCUUGCUCAAAAUGCAAGCAACCGGGUAAUCAAUAAAGAGAAGAAAGGUGCACCCGAAGAGUGGAGAAUGGGGGAUAUGAUGAAAAUGUAUGCACACGAUACACCUGGCAGCGGUGGGAGCAAUAGUAGUAACAGUAAUCAGCCUUAUGCUAUAACCUCUAUAGCUGAACUAUCACAGCAAUCCUCGGCGUUGUUGCCACCACCACCCCCACAGACGCAAUUGUCGCGAAAAGGCGAUUUGCAUUCCAGCCAACACCGCUCCCAUCACAAUUCAACGUCUCAUCAUUCGAAGAUUAAUUUCCCCCCUACCGAUGUUCUUGACCAUAAAAAUAGUCACAAACAGCCGCCGUUUAGUGGAGUUGUUAGCCGCCCACGUGAUCAUUCACAAUCGUCUCAAGGUCAUCAGCAAGCAAUGGUUCCAGGCAAUUCUUCACGUUCAGGUCUUCCAUCAUCCAGCGGACGAUCUCUGAGCAGUAUACCUGGUCAAAGUCUGCCACGUCAGACUUUGCAAAGUCAUCAAUUAGAUGUGAACUAUCAUAAACCUCGAGAAAAGGGUAACAUUGUAGGUUCAUACCCACAUAAUGCGCCAUCACAAUCGCAUGCUGGGCAUAAGGUGUCGCAAAAACAAGACCCGAAUCGAGUGAUACAGAAAGAGCAGACUGCUGUCAAAAUGUCAGAACCUGGAAAAGGCGCCAGUAAUAGUAGUAGCAACAGUAAAAUAUUCCCGCCUACUUCCUCAAUGGCGACUAUGCCCCAAUAUGGUAGCAACCCUUCACAGGUUCAAAGCAAGUUGGAUAUGGGUCAAGAUAUGUCACGUAAUAUUUUGCAUGGUCAGCGUUCUUAUGGGGUUAACAAUGGGUCUGGAAAUGUGCCCAUAUUAGGUAGUUAUCAGCCACCGCAUGCACGGCAGAGUAGUAAUAGCGCUAGUAACAACGGCAAACACGAUUUAUCAAAACCCGCAUCCGUCCACCUUCAACAGCAUGGCAAACAACCAACUAUUCCGACAGAAUCAGUCUACAACACUGGCACGCAUGAAGUUCAGCAAACAGCUGCGCAUGCGCAAUCGCAUCCUACUGCCGGUUAUUUGAUUUCGCGGCCGCCAGAAGGUUCACACAACGAAGAGGCCAAUUCUGCCCAGUUACCGUCAGUUCAUGCGAUACUUCAACAGCCAACGAACGCUAACCAAACAAAGACCUCUAUGUUUAGCCCCGACUGGAGUCAACAACAACAACAAACACAGUUAUUGUCUUCAAAUACUUAUGUUAAUAAUAAUAUGUCAACCACCGUUGUGGGCGAUGCAUAUAAUUAUAAAUUACUGUCUAAUAAGGAGGGAGAGCGAGAGAAAACCGAUCGCGAUCGUAUGGACGCUAAUGCCACAGCACCUAAAAAGGACCGUAACCGCAGUGCACAUCCUGGAAUGGAUAUUACGAGUUCAAUGCUUAUGGGUGUACGACCUAAUACUUCGCAGACACAGUUUCACCAGCAGUUACAACAACAGUCUUUAAAAAUAAGCAUGCCAAAGAAAUCAGACUCGAGCAUUAUCGGUGAACUUACUGGUAUAAAUGCCGGUAUCAAACGUCCCAAUGAAGGUGCCUACAAACAAGAAGAAGAACAAAAUAAAAUUCGGAAACUUGAUACUCAACUUACAUUGUCUUCGUAUAAUGAACCAAAAGCCGGCGAUAGUAACAAACUGCAUGUAGUAAAUGGAAUAGAAACUAAUCCUGAUAUGGUGAGGAGUUUGUUAAAAGAAAGCCUAUGCCCUUCCAAUGCUCUUUUGAAAACGGAACAGUUGGGAGCACUUAGUUUACAUCCACCAGCUGAACUUCUCGAACCAUCCGUAACCUCUGCUCCGGAUAUGACGGUUGCAUCUGCUGAGUCGUCGCUAAAAUCGACAAGCCAAAGUAGUGGAAUUGAACCAUCAUCUAUGGAAAUUAAUGAUUCCGGCAGUAAUAAAGCAGAAAAGAAAAAGAAAAAAGACAAGCAUAAACGUAAAGAUAAGGGUAAGUCAAAAGAUCGGGAAGAUCGAAAAAAGCACAAAAAGGAUAAAGACAAGCAUAAGGAACGUGAUCGGGGCGAAUUAGAAAGCUCCGGACACGUAAAGAUUAAAAUAUCUAAAGAUAAAAUUGAAGGAACUGCCGAAUGUUUAAAAAUCAAAAUACCAAAAGAACGUAUAAUAAGUGAUGUGAACAACAGUACGUGCAGUGCUAACAAUAGCUCUACAGAUAGCGGUAGCGGUAUGCACCCGGCACCAGCGUUAAAAAUUAAAAUCAGCAAAGAUAAAUUGGAAAACUAUGCGACAGACUCCUCUACACAUUCAUCUUUACAACAAGCGCAGGCGCUGGCACAAACGGCAGCUGGUUUCUAUUCGUCCUUCGUAACACCCAAUAAUGCAUCGACAUCCACGUCACAUAGUAGUAGUGGUAGCAGUAGUAGUGGGAAAAAAAAGGACCGAGAUCGUGACAAGGAUCGCGAGCGAGAGAAAGACAAAAAACGGGCAAGCAAUGAAGGCAUUAAAUCGAAUGGAAGUGGAUCAUUUCAUUCGGCAAUGAUGUUACAAGGCGGUACUGGGGGUUCACUGCUUUCACAUCCGCCACCAACAACUGUCGUGACGUCGAAAAGCCAAAACGUCAACAAGAUGCAACUCUUAUCGAAUAAUAUGAAUCAGCUCUUCGGAGAGUCGAAUGAUGAUGAUGAUGACUAUGAUGAUAAUCACAGUGUUAAUCAAAAAAAUUAUAAGGAUUAUCAUAAAAACAGAGUUCAAAACACGGACUCCUUCGCAUCCACAUCCAAUAACUCUGCGGGUUCUGUACGUAAAAGCACCGAUUACGGGCAAAAAUAUUCGCAAUCACAUCAAAUGCAACGAUGAUAAAUCCAAUCAUCACGUAAAAUUGUUUCAUACUUCUGAAAUAAAUUGAAAUGAGUCCUGCUGGUCUGGUACACAAGUGCUAACUGCAUGUGGAGGUGAAAUAUCCGUCAUUUCAUAAGUCCAGUGUUAUCUUUCCAUUUGUGUUCUGUAUCUUAUUAUUUGAUGUUCGAAGUCGUAGUCUCCAUUGAAUGUGAAAUUUUUUAAAGAGGCGUUACACUUGGCAGGACUGGCAUAUACAUACUGCACAUAAGUUGGUUUGCAAAAUUUACACUUUACGUACAUUAAGCUGCUACAUACGUAUAAGAAAACAAACGAAUAAAUUCUACAAAAAAAUGAAAGUAAACUUUAUAACGUAGAGAUAUUUAAUUUUAAUGUUCGGGCAAGACACUAACUUCGCCAUGAACUGGUGAAUAACAACAAUAUUCACACAUAAUUUCAUUGACACAUGUUAGAUAUUGCGUUAUAGAGCCAAAUACUCACGCAAUUCAAUUGACGCAUUUACUACUUAAAUUAUUAAAUACGCUGGAGUAAAGGCAAAUCAAUUACAUUUAGUCAGUGCUGUUCCUCUAUUUUGCAAUAUUGUUCAGAAAUAUGUAAACAACAAACUAUAAAAAAAAUAGUUUGGGGCACGGAAGUGAAAGUGUUUUGAAAAGUGAUUAUAGUUCAUAUGUCUCGCGCGUAAUGAGAUGGAAACCAUAAAGAAUCUCGCAUGUAAAUAUACCGGAACAACGUACUUAGUAUUUGGGUGAUUUUGCAAAGUACGCGUAUAUAUGUACAAAUAACUAAACGUACAUAAACAACAUUAAUACUGGCCUAAUUUACUUUCACUUUCGUUUUUAUUAAACCAACGUUUGUUUUUUGAUAUUCAUAAUUUUUGAGUGAAGAAUUUUUAACGAUUGUAGCAAUUGUAGAACUUUUAAUAAUUCGUAUUAUAAAUGUAAAAUAUAUGAUUUUUGUUAAAAAGAUGUAUAAAUCUAAUUGGAAUGAAGAUUUUUCUUUGAUUGGCAACUGUGUAACAAAAUUCAAUAAAUGCGAUCAACGUUUGUAUUGAAUUUCAAACCUUUACACAAGAAAAUAAUAAUUUAUUACGCUAAUAUGUUUGAAUUUAGAAAAUUUGCUUAUUUUGCAAUGUAAGUGCUUGUUUAAUAUAUAUAAAGCAGCACUCUGCAACAGUGUUGAAAAUAUACAAUUUUAUAUUUAUAUUAUUUUAUUCAGGCAAUCAAUUGUAUGUACAUACAUAUAUACAGACAUAUGAUGUUGUAAUUGGAAUAAUUAGGGAAAAGGCAUUCUUAUAUGGAGGUCAUAGGUAUUCUACUAUGCGAUAAAGAAUUUAGUGAUUGUUGAUAAAAAUGAAAGUUUUUCUUUAUUUUUUUCAAAAAAUAAUAUUUUUUUGUAUUGUGUUACAAUCUUUUCAAGAGGAUAUAACCAUAUAGCAUUUAAAUAAACUUAAGUUAGCUACUAGUUAGAAUAAAACAAUUUGAGAUUAAGUUUUGGUUUUUUUUUUUGUUUUGCUAUAACAGUGAUGAAUGGCAAUAUUUUUUAAAUCAAGCCUCUGUUGCUUGUAGUUUUGAAUUAAAAUUUGGCGAUCGCAAUUUUAACGCUAUAGUUUCAUACAAUAUGCAUAACCUAACUAUAAUACUUAACCUAUGUGGAGCAGAUAUAUUUUGCAUUGUUUCCGAUAAUGUUGCCAUUAAAUUCUGCCUUGGCAUACAUGAGAAAGUUGAAAUGACCAGCUCUACAUUAUACUUAAUGGAAAUCUGUCACACGUGAUCAAACGUCCACACUAAUAUUCACAUAAAUACAAUUCAGUUAUAAACAAAUGAGCCCACACAAAAGUUUGUGCGUAUAUAUAUUCAAAUUCGCCUACCACAUAUAUACAUACAUACAUAUGUAUGAUUACAAGUAAUUCAAAUCUCCCAAAUACGGUCAACGUAAGUUUAACUAAAUAAGUAGCAUUUGAAAACAAGUAAAACACAUACAUACGAAAAGAAACGCAAGCCAACACAAACAAUUUAAUUUAUGAUAAUGAAUGGAAAGCAGUUAGCGAUUCAAACUAACAAUAAUUUCAUUGCAAUCUAUUUGCAGUUACAAAAUCUAAGAGAUCGAUUAUUGAAAUAUUUUCCAAGCCGUUAAUAAGUUCAAUUUAAGCACGGACAAAGGUUUUACGAAAAAUUAAAUAUUGUUGUAUAUAAAUUAGAAAUACAAAAACAUAUAUGGAACAAUUGUAUUGGAUGCUAAAAAUAGAAAAAAAUUAAAUGCAUUGAAAUUCAUAUAAAGGUUAUUAUAUAAUAUUAUAAAAUAAAUAGCACGAUUAUAGCAAACAUAGUUUUAAACAAAGUUGGCGAGUAAAGGGAUAGCGGACAAAACCGUGGCUUAAGCUUAUCGUUGUAUGUAUAAAUAUAAUUAUGUAAGUCUUAUUAUUAAAUCCUAUCAUCAUAAUUAUCAUCCACAAUUGUAUAAUAAUGUAUUGAUUUUAGUUUUACAAUUGUCAUUGUCCUUAAUACAUAAAAGCAAUAAACAAAUUUCAUUUGGCCUUUCAUAAAAUCAUACAAAAAUAUA